AGCAUUGGAUCGGUAGCUAAUUGCAAGAGGUAUGUUGUAUUUGAUUUUUUUUUAAUUUUCAAUAUUUUACAAUUUUGAAUGAUAAUUGUAUUACUUUAGUGGAGUUUGAAUAUCUUAGAUAUUCAUUCGUAGUGAAGUAGGUUCUGAGAAUUUUGUGUGCUACGGUGAUAUAUGGAUGAAAACCUGUGUGCUGAUUGAUUUGUUUGACAUGUUGGUGUUGAAUGUUACAGAUGGCUAGGCUAGUAAAUUAGGGGAUAUGAGAAUUUAUGCAUGUUCUACAAUUUUCUUGCAUAGCACAUGUUUGAUGAAAGUCCCAAGUUUUGUCCUUUAAUCUUAAUAUUAGGCUCCAAAAUCUUUUUUUUUUCUUUUUUUUGAUUGUUUCUUUUCGCAGGUUUGUUGAUUGACAAAGAGGGAGUACGCAUGGAGAAGACGAAGGAGAGAGUGAAAAGAAAAAAAAUGUUUCUUUGGCAAUCUUGGCUCGGGGUUGUAGUUUAAGGUUCAUGUUAUUGUGGCAUUCUGAUUUUAAUUAUUUGUUUUAUUUGACAGUGCAAUAUUCUUACAUGUAAGGGGUAGAAGUUUUAGUCUACUUGAUUAUUUGUUGGAAGAUGUUGAAGUAUUACCCUUUACUUGUAGUUGCUAAGACAACUCUGCUUCAUAAUCCACCUGUUUAGUUUAUAGGUUUUGGAGAUAAACAAAUUAUAAUUUGUUUAUGGUAUGUAUGAAAUCUGUGUCUUCAUGCUGUUGUUUGUCUAUUACUGUGAUACUAUAAUAUUAAUAUCGUUCAUGUUCUUGCUAA